AUUGAACGCUGGCGGAAUGCUUUACACAUGCAAGUCGAACGGUAGAGGGGGCAACCCCUCGAGAGUGGCGAACGGGUGAGUAAUAUAUCGGAACGUGCCCAGUCGUGGGGGAUAACGUAGCGAAAGUUACGCUAAUACCGCAUACGAUCUAAGGAUGAAAGCGGGGGAUCGCAAGACCUCGCGCGAUUGGAGCGGCCGAUAUCAGAUUAGGUAGUUGGUGGGGUAAAGGCCCACCAAGCCAACGAUCUGUAGCUGGUCUGAGAGGACGACCAGCCCCACUGGAACUGAGACACGGUCCAGACUCCUACGGGAGGCAGCAGUGGGGAAUUUUGGACAAUGGACGCAAGUCUGAUCCAGCCAUUCCGCGUGCAGGAUGAAGGCCCUCGGGUUGUAAACUGCUUUUGUACGGAACGAAAAGGUCUCUCUUAAUACGGGGGACUCAUGACGGUACCGUAAGAAUAAGCACCGGCUAACUACGUGCCAGCAGCCGCCGUAACAC
rnacentral:rRNA from 1 species